rnacentral:sRNA from 1 species
AUCGCCGUCAUCAUCAA